GAUGAAGAACGUAGCGAAAUGCGAUAAGUAAUGUGAAUUGCAGAAUUCAGUGAAUCAUCGAAUCUUUGAACGCACCUUGCACUCCUUGGUAUUCCGAGGAGUACGCCUGUUCGAGUGUUAUGAAGCUCUCAAAACGCAAUUGGCUUAAAACCUGAUUGUUGUGUUGGAUUUGAACUUUGCCGUGUUAUAACGGCUGGUUUUAAAAGUAUUAGCUGGUACUAGAACGAAUUGGUUCUACUCAACGUGAUAAUUAUCUGAUCGUUGAGGACAUUCCUUUCACGAGGAAUGGCCAUAGUAAAUUCAAUGGACUGCUUCUAAUCUGGCUUUAAUUCUUUAUUGGAUUAACCACUUUUCAAAUCUGACCUCGAAUCAGGUGGGACUACCCGCUGAACUUAAGCAUAUCAAUAAGCGGAGGA
rnacentral:misc_RNA from 1 species